UUCCAAGUCACUGAGGAAAAAAUAAAAAAAAUGCCAAUAUGAAACGGGGGAGAGUGAGGUAGAAGAUAAUUUGCUCCUAAACACGCUGACUAAUAUUCUGCCUGAUGUCUGAUACAGUCAAAUGUCAGAGGAAGUCAAUCAGUUAAAUCAUUCCUGACAUAAAUAUGCUUUGUCUUCACAUGUACUUUUUUAAACCCAUAAUUGUGUUUUAAAAAUAGGUGACCAUGAUUAUCUUAUCACUUCUUUUUUGGUCUCUGUUCCACUGAAUCUUCCUUUGAAGAACACAGCCAGCAGCAGACUGCCUUGAGAGGCUAGCCAUACAUUUCCUGACUACGGUGAGAGGCCUACAAUUAUUUAUGAGGGUUUUUGGACCUCCCAUACUGAAGAUGAAAGCAGAGAGCUUAAAAAAAUAUUUAAAAAAAAAACGAAUUAAACUGUAAUACGUCAACAGUUGCCACCGAACCCUGGAGUCAAAUUCUUACAGAACACACCAGGUUGGGGAGAAAUUACAUUACACAUCCAAUGUGUAAAUGUAGACUGAAGAGUAGAAAGAAGCCACAUUGUACUCCGCCUCCUCUCCAGGUUUUACACGGGAUCUUCAAAUCCAUUCUGGAAUUCAGUGAACGCGUGCUAAAGUUUCCAGUACUCAAACAUAAACUAAUGGCGCUGUCAGCGCGGAGAACGCUCGGAGGAGACGGAUUAGAGUCCACACACAGAGAGGAGAUGAAGAAGAAGCCGAGGUGAC